UUAAGUUUACAGAAAGUGAUCGCUAAGUCCGUGACUUAUGUAAAUCACGAUGUACGCAUUCAUGCAAUAAAGGAUGACGCGAAUUUCGGUUUCGAAUCUGUUUUUUGGAUGCGUAGUAGUUUCGUUUGACAUGCGAUCGCGCGUCGACAUCGGACGCUAUGACACACUCGUGCCUUAUGUGCCACCGAAGCCCCGAAGUGGUCUGGCAUAUACCUUCACAUAUAUGCAAUGGCAAGCCCUUCCGUGUGUUCCAAAGACAAUGCCUACGCCUAGCCACAGCAGCUCCCUCAUACAGACUCCACAAACCAAGAGGCCGUGGAGGCAAAUGCAGGCAGCCAGCACACCUCGAACAGCCACCUUGACUGCGGGUGUGUCACCCUAGUCGCCAAGGAAACAUUUGAGGGAAAGUGACAGGCAAUGUGAACAGCCACUUCUCCAUGUAAACAAUACUCUUUCUCUCGGAUGACUCCUACGCCUCACCACGCCAGCACACUUGUGCACAAAGAUGCCGCAGAGGCACGUGCAGGUCAGAGGCAAGAAGCAGUGGCACUGGUGUCGACAUUUACCCAAUUUCUUUUUCUUACACUGAGGCAGCCAGCACACCUCGAACAGCCACCUUGACUGCGGGUGUGUUAGUUGAUUCCUGUUGUACAUAUGCUCAUAAUAAACUUCAGUAAACUUGAACUUCAUAAUAAACUUGAAGGCAAAUGGGA